CUAAGGAAAACGGCGGGGGGAAGGCGCGCGAGGUCUGUCGCUGUAUGUUUUGACACCUAUUUGUGCACGCCGGACAGCUCCUCUCUCUCACAUACUAUCCCCCUCAGCCUUUUGUGCACCACCGGACGUUUUACCUUUGUGAUGUGUGUUUUUUCACGGAACCCCUUUUCUGAAGUGGAUAAUGACCCCACUUUGCUAUGACACGCUUCUGAAUUGCUUUCAUCAACGGAUCUCUUGGCUCUUGAAUCCAUAAAGAACCCAUUGAAAUGCGAUACGUAAUGUGAAUUGCAGAAUUCUUUGAAUCAUCAAAUCUUUGAAGGCACCUUGCGCCCCUUGUCCUCCGAGGGGCAUUCCGUUUGACUGUAGUGAAAAUCUCAACCUUCUCGGAUUUCUUCUGUACCCGAAGGAGGCUUGGACUUUGUAGGCCUUUGCUGGAAUCUCUCUGUAGACAGCUCCUCUUAGUGAAUUAGCGCUGACCUCUUUGCCGAUCCUUGACAUGUGAUAAGAUGUUUCCAUGACUCGGUUUCUGGCUCUGUUGCAUUUGGCACCUACUUCUAACCGUCUCGACCAAACCAUAUUUGGAAGUGACUCCCCUUCUCGGGGAGACUCUCUCGACCCCACGAACCCUUGACCUCAAAUCGGGUGAAGACUACCCGCUGAACUUAACCAUAUCAAUAAACGGAGGAAAGCUUGGGUCUUUGACAGGAAGUAAGAUAUAAUAAACGAAGACAAGAAAAAUGAUUUCU
rnacentral:misc_RNA from 1 species